ensembl:lncRNA
UGUACUAUCUCUAACCUUCCUUUCAUCCUCUUUCAGAGUGCUCAGAGGAGAAUCCGUGUGAAGGACUUAGUCGUCAUGCAACCUUUGACAACUUUGGCAUGGCUUUCCUCACACUCUUCAGGGUGUCCACAGGAGACAACUGGAAUGGGAUUAUGAAGGACACGUUGCGUGAAUGCCGCCCACAGGACCGACACUGCCUCACAUACCUGCCUUUGAUCUCCCCCGUCUACUUCGUCACCUUCGUCCUCACGGCUCAGUUUGUACUGGUCAACGUUGUCGUGGCCGUGCUGAUGAAGCAUCUGGAAGAGAGCAACAAGGAGGCUCAGCUAGAAGAGAUGGAGGAGAGGAAGGAGCGGGAGGAGAAGAAGGAGCGGGAGGAGAGGGAGGAGGCGCGCCGACGCCUCAGCUCUGCGUCUGUAGGAGGAGACCUGGAGCCCAACGUAGACACACCUGCACAGGUGCAAGUUGAAGAUGUGGAGGGUUUCCGUGGCAACCUACUGAGCAUGGGACGCAUGGCGUCGCUUUCAGGUGACACGUAUGUGCAGCCUCUCAGAUGUUCCCCUCAUCCUCCAAUCGGCCACGAGGCGCUCUCUGCCUACAGCUACUCAGGCUCCAUGUCGUCCCUGGGCUCCAGCCUUGGUGGCUCUCUGCUGCAGGUUCCCGGGGCUCUUCCCUCCAUCAGUCAUGCGUCGUUGAGCUGUGGGCGACGCUCCAGCCCAGUGAUUUGCCUCAGCACGUCUCAGAACGUAGACAGACCCUCCCUGCAUCGCCUCAGUCCAGCUGAGAGCGUGGAUGGACACAGGCUGAGUCCAGCUCACAGGAUAAACAGACACAGACUGAGCUCUGCUCACAGUAUAGACGGAUACAAGUUCAGCCCAGCCCAUCACACCCACAGACACAGACUGAGCUCUGCCCACAGCAUCGAUGGAUACAGGCUCAGUGCAGAACACGCAGCAGACAGACCAAAACUCACGUCCAGCCACAGCAUCGACAGACAUUCGUCUCUCAGACUCAGUCCAACACACAGGAGACGACACUGGCUCAGUCCACAGGACAGUUUGGACAGAAACAAGCUGAGUCCCUCCUACGUCCCCGAGAGCUCCGCCCACAAGAGACCAGCAUCUUUCCGCUCUGCAGGCAGAACACUACGGAGACAGGAGGCCGUACGCGUCGACUCUCUGGAUCAGAUCGAUUCAGCUGAUGAUAUGGUGGAGUCUCGACUCACUGUACCUGCUGCCACUUCCACUCCACCACGGCAGCGAGCGUCCAGUGUGCACACGCUGAAGUCCAACCACUCCCAGAGAGUCAUCUCUGGUAGGAGCCGCAGUCACAGUGAGACGGCCACACAGGAACACUACCCCCAGCAGAGCGUCUCAGCUGCUGAGACCGUGUCCACUUUGCAGGUUCCUGUGGAUGAGUCCACAUCAAGCACCAGAUCGUGCAGCUCAGAGCUGGUCCAGCAGCAGGUCGACGCCGACCAGGAGGUCAGCCUUAUCACCAGCUCCGUCUGCUCACACAGCAGCAGACACCUGAGCCCUAGCCCUGGGGAGCGGAGUCGCCUCAGCCACUCGGCCUCCCCGGUUUCAGGAAAGAACAGGAAGCAGCGAGUGAGCCCGCCCCCGGAGCAGGAAGCAGUGCCCACGGCCCCUCAGCUUAUGGACAGCAGUGUGGAACUCAGGAGGCGAACUCUGUCUUUUGACGCCACAACCGUCUCUCCUAAUCAGCCAGAAGGAAGCUCAGUGGACGACUAAUGCAAACCUGAAGUUAACCCUAAAGCAGGAGAUGGACCAGUGUCCCACUUUGCCUCAUGGAUCUGCUCUAGAACAUGUCCCAGGGUGUGUGAGCAGAACUUAUGCAGACUUGACAGUAUGAGAACUUUGACCUUUUUAGUGCUUUUUGCACAUGAGAUGCACACAGGAAAAGACCACCUCUUCUUCUGUCUUACACCAUAGCUUUAGUUCAGACGUAGGAAGCACUCCCCAGCUAUAUGACCUUUAACACUAACCUCCACAGUGCUUGCUCCCAGUCCCAUCCAUGCAACUGAAGCCUAGGUCAGAAUACAAGACAAAAGUGGUCCUGAUAACACGGGAGACGUGACGGCACAGUCUAAAUCUGGAAUCUUACAUUAUGUGCAUCAAAGGACCAACACAAGUGUUAACAAUGGUUGUUAUUUGGUUCCAAACAGCAAAUAAUGGCUCUAAAUAAUAUAAGAGGAUGAACAACAAAGAGUAUUCAGAAAAAAACGAGGCUGUUUCAUCAGUGUUUAUCAUGUACAAACAAAUCCAAUUAAGAUGGUUUUAGCCAAAGAAGAAAAAAUCUCUUUUAUCCAUCAUUUCACUUUUACAAAAGAACAGCCUUUCUAACUUUGUGAAAAAAAACUGCUUGAUUUGUAAACGCACUGCUAUAUGAAUAGUUUUUAUUGGUAUUUGAGACAAAAUCUACACUUGUGUCCAUCCAUAGUUUCUAAAUAAAUAGAAGUUAAACCACUGCUGUAAAGUAGCU